GCCUGGCUGGCUCAGUCUGUAGAGCAUGAAACUCUUGAUCUCCAAGUUGUGAGUUCAAGCCCCGUGUUGGGUA
rfam:Felis catus isolate Cinnamon breed Abyssinian chromosome B2, whole genome shotgun sequence.